rnacentral:SRP_RNA from 1 species
CCGUGCUAGGCGGGGAAGUAGCGGCGCCCUGUACCCGAAAUCCGCUCUAGCGGGGCUGAAGUCCCAUCCGAGGUCCCCGGGCGCGAGGCGAAGCCGACGCCGUCUCAGCGAUGACGAGCGGGCCCUGCGCGGCGGAGACCAGCGAACCCCGCCAGGUCCGGAAGGAAGCAACGGUAAGUUGUCGUCUCCGGGUGCCGCAGGUAAGCCUGCUCUGAGCCGAGCGACACCGGCCCGUCACGCGUACCAGAUCGACGGUGGGUGCACGG